UGGAAGUAAAAGUCGUAACAAGGUCUCCGUUGGUGAACCAGCGGAAGGAUCAUUACUGAGUUUACGCUCUACAACCCUUUGUGAACAUACCUAUAACUGUUGCUUCGGCGGGUAGGGUCUCCGUGACCCCCCCGGCCUCCCGCCCCCGGGCGGGUCGGCGCCCGCCGGAGGAUAACCAAACUCUGAUUUAACGACGUUUCUUCUGAGUGGUACAAGCAAAUAAUCAAAACUUUUAACAACGGAUCUCUUGGUUCUGGCAUCGAUGAAGAACGCAGCGAAAUGCGAUAAGUAAUGUGAAUUGCAGAAUUCAGUGAAUCAUCGAAUCUUUGAACGCACAUUGCGCCCGCCAGCAUUCUGGCGGGCAUGCCUGUUCGAGCGUCAUUUCAACCCUCAAGCUCUGCUUGGUGUUGGGGCCCUACGGCUGACGUAGGCCCUCAAAGGUAGUGGCGGACCCUCCCGGAGCCUCCUUUGCGUAGUAACUUUACGUCUCGCACUGGGAUCCGGAGGGACUCUUGCCGUAAAACCCCCAAUUUUCCAAAGGUUGACCUCGGAUCAGGUAGGAAUACCCGCUGAACUUAAGCAUAUCAAUAAGCGGAGGA
rnacentral:rRNA from 1 species